AUGUAUUUGAUAUAUUUUGUGUGAAAUGCAGCCUUUGUGGAGAUUCUUAAAUCAUAUUUAGACAUUUGUUUUCUAAAAAAAACAUUUUUUCCCACUAGGUCACUAUUAAUAUUUUUUUCGGUCUAGCAAAAAUAUAUAUAUUUUUAAAUUUAAAAAGAAAAUGAUGUUUCCGCCCGGUUUCGAACCGGGGACCUUUCGCGUGUGAGGCGAACGUGAUAACCACUACACUACGGAAACCGCUGGUGUGUGUGAGCAAACUCUCUGGCUACAAUCAUUGACGAAACGGAGUUCUGUACUUCAGGAGUGAGGAGCGAGCAUCCGUACCUUGGCUGUUUUGGAUCUGCUCUUCAUCCUGUCGCUGUCCCGGCGACUCCUCUUCCUGGACGUGGAGCGCUCUUUCCUGUCCCGGCUGCGCUCCCUCCUCUUCUCCCUCUUACCGCUUCACACACAAAACAUAAAAGGACAACCUCA